rnacentral:sRNA from 1 species
GCCAGGCGUGGCAGAGCACGCCUGUAAUCCCAGCAGCUCAGGAGGCUCAGACAGGAGGAUAGUGAGUUCAAAACCAGCCUCAGCAAUGGCGAGGUGCUAAGCAACUCAGUCAGAUCCCGUCUCUA